GAGCGAUCAAGUGUCAUAAGGGUAUCUGGUGGAUGCCUUGGCGCUGAGAGGCGAUGAAGGACGUGGUACGCUGCGAUAAGCCGGGGGGAGCCGCGAACAGGCUUUGAUCCCUGGAUCUCCGAAUGGGGAAACCCACCUUCGACCUUCGCCAUCCCGUGUGUUCCGGUUUCCGGAGCGCAGGGGAUGACGCGGGUCAAUGGAGGUAUUUGGAACUGAAUCCAUAGGUUCCAAAGGCGAACCGGGGGAACUGAAACAUCUCAGUACCCCGAGGAAAGGACAUCAACGAGACUCCGUCAGUAGUGGCGAGCGAACGCGGAUCAGGCCAGUGGCCG
rnacentral:rRNA from 1 species